GAGGACCCAGGUGAUGCCUGAGGAAAAGGUCGUCCACAACACGGAGGACAGCGGCUCCUAAUAUAACCUUCCCACAGUGCCUCUAAAUGACAUGUGGACUUUGGGUGAACUGGAUCUGGGUAAUCCACAGGACCCAAGACAUGGUAGCUACUAAUAUACUGUUCCCACGGUGCCUCUUAAUACCAUGCGGACUCCUACAAGGGAAAUAAGUAUCACAACUUUGGUUGAACUUGGUCUGGUCUCAGAUUUACCUGAUGGUCACCACUCACAGUUCCCGCAGAGCCCAG